rnacentral:lncRNA from 1 species
AGAUUCAGACUGGAACUCCACCAUCAGCGCUCCUAAGUCUCUUAACAUAACAGCUGCAGAUCAUGGAACUUCUAUUACUUGUUCUGUUUCUCUAAGAACCAGACAAAUAGAAAAGGGGAGAUUUAUCAGUGGAAGGCACAAUGAAAGAGAGAUUGGAGAAAGAGGAAAGAAGCUAAAAAAGAAAACCCACUGAAUGGAGCCUGUUCCGUGCUAUA